GAUUCUUGGUGGAAGAAAGGAACCAUGCGAUCUUACAACAAUAAAAGUGUGUAAGCUCGUCAUUGUUUCCUUUCUUCUCCAACUCACU
rnacentral:pre_miRNA from 1 species